GAUGAACGCUAGCUACAGGCUUAACACAUGCAAGUCGAGGGGAAACGACAUCGAAAGCUUGCUUUUGAUGGGCGUCGACCGGCGCACGGGUGAGUAACGCGUAUCCAACCUGCCCACCACUUGGGGAUAACCUUGCGAAAGUAAGACUAAUACCCAAUGAUAUCUCUAGAAGACAUCUGAAAGAGAUUAAAGAUUUAUCGGUGAUGGAUGGGGAUGCGUCUGAUUAGCUUGUUGGCGGGGUAACGGCCCACCAAGGCUACGAUCAGUAGGGGUUCUGGGAGGAAGGUCCCCCACAUUGGAACUGAGACACGGUCCAAACUCCUACGGGAGGCAGCAGUGAGGAAUAUUGGUCAAUGGACGGGAGUCUGAACCAGCCAAGUAGCGUGCAGGAUGACGGCCCUAUGGGUUGUAAACUGCUUUUAUAAGGGAAUAAAGUGAGUCUCGUGAGACUUUUUGCAUGUACCUUAUGAAUAAGGACCGGCUAAUUCCGUGCCAGCCGCCGCUGUAA
rnacentral:rRNA from 1 species